rnacentral:lncRNA from 1 species
CUCAUGCACUUUAGAGGGGGAGAGUGUAACCCAGGUCAUUUUUUGAGUAUGGGAUUUCUGAUUAUUUGGUAGUCACUGAACGCACCACUGUGCCGUGCGCAUAGCCACUCCCUAGUCUAGCCACAGAGUUUUUCCUUCCGUUCGUCCGAUGACGCGCAUGCUGCUCUCGUGCCCUCUGCGAGCUGGAAAUUCGGGCUGGUUUGUUUGCCUUUUGAUACCCUGGAUCCUACUGGAUGAACUGCCUUGUGGAAGUCCUCAUCUGAUGACUCAGCUGAAUCGUCCUGGCCGGUAGAUGGUCGUUGCUGCGGGUGGAUGCUUCUGCUUGCUGGAUACUAUUAUUGGACACUACGCUGUUCCAACAGAGCGGUAGGAAUAAUUCAAAGGGCCCCAACAGUGCACUUUACUUUUCCCUGAGCUCAGGUGAUUUUCUUUUGGCCAAAGGACCUUAAAGGAUACAUAUUUGCAUUUAUUUUUAUUUUUUGGGGGGGACGCCGAGUGGAAGGACACUAAAAAAAAGAUUAUUAUUUAAAAUUGUGUUUAAUAAAUGUGUUUAUGUCAAGUGAGUGUGGUGUCCAUUGUGUGCUGGAAGGCUUACUGUUCCUGUGGUGGAGCAGCUACUACCAAUCUCCUUUACGAAACUAGCCUCUGACGGGAUACAGAUAUUUGGGACACAUUUGAAUUCUUGUAACCUAUUUCUAGAGAAACUGUGAUUCUGGGCCUAGACAUCGGGGUGAAAUUGAUGACACUGACACCUAGUGAACUGCCCAAGGUCAACAGUCCUGAUUUCCAAGCAUUAAAGCAUUGGCGAUGAAAACCUUCAGAAAUUUCUGAAGGAGGCCGCGAUGAUGGACCCACGUUUUAAAGGCAGGCUAGGUGGUGAGGCAGCUACUGACAUCUGGGACAGGUUGGAGAAGGCAGCAGUUGCAAAUGCCACAGCAGCAGUUGCACAGCCUCCCACUGAGGACCCCAAAGCACACAGCGAGGUGGAUGAUGCUGACAUGGACAAGCCAGAAAAAUAUCUAAGUAAGGUCCAGAAGUCACCCUUAGAAAAGCUGUUUGAGUAUGAAGACAGAGAGCUUCAACAGGCUGCUUCUCAAGCGGGUAGAGUCCCCUCAAUCACAGAGCAGAUGGCAGCGAUUUCAGAGGAACAGUGGAAAAUAGCUCUGACUGAAAUCCUUGCAAAGCUGGAUGACAAAGAGUACGAUAAGAUGUGGGAGUUUGUUUCGAAAAUCCCAAAACAGAAGAAGACGAAGAAGUUAAAAAGAGAGAUGCCCCAAAAAAUCAUUAAGCAAUAUGGAGUGGAUGGAUCUAUCCAGAAAAUCAAGAACGCAAUGAAUAAGAUACCAAGGAAAGACGCUGGAGUCUGGAACCUGCUGCGCCCCUUUGUGGACCAACUGAAGAGCAAAGCAGAAGCUGAGAAAAAAGGUGAGUUCACACCAUCCCAUAUAGCAAAACUGGUAUGGUCCAGCUCUGGUCCACACAAUGUGCUGACACAUGGCCCACAUACCGCAAAGAAUGACAGCCCUUUGGUGGCCCAGAUCUGGUUUGCCAGAGGUGGUCCACACACGGGCCAGCACAAGGCCAGUUGCAGACACACUGGUCAUCCUUUGCUGGCCCAUGUGUGGAUUACCUCUGGCAAACCUGGUCUGGGCCACCAAAGGGCCGUCAUUCUUUGCGGUAUGUGGGCCAUGUGUAAGUUGUUAUUGUUGUCUCAUGUCUCAAGUCUGUCUCAUGUUGUCUUAUUAAUGUGCUAA